rnacentral:rRNA from 1 species
AACGAACGCUGGCGGCAGGCCUAACACAUGCAAGUCGAGCGAGGACUUCGGUUCUAGCGGCGGACGGGUGAGUAACGCGUGGGAAUGUGCCCUUCUCUACGGAAUAGCCCUGGGAAACUGGGAGUAAUACCGUAUACGCCCUAUUGGGGAAAGAUUUAUCGGAGAAGGAUCAGCCCGCGUUGGAUUAGGUAGUUGGUGGGGUAAUGGCCUACCAAGCCGACGAUCCAUAGCUGGUUUGAGAGGAUGAUCAGCCACACUGGGACUGAGACACGGCCCAGACUCCUACAGGAGGCAGCAGUGGGGAAUCUUAGCCAAUGGGGGCAACCCUGAUCUAGCCAUGCCGCGUGAGUGAUGAAGGCCUUAGGGUUGUAAAGCUCUUUCAGCUGGGAAGAUAAUGACGGUACCAGCAGAAGAAGCCCCGGCUAACUCCGUG